GUCAAGUCAUCAUGGCCUUUAUGCCCAGGGCUACACACGUGCUAUAAUGGGGAGGACAAAGGGCUGUCACUUGGCGACAAGGAGCUAAUCCCAAAAACCUCUUCUCAGUUCAGAUUGCAGUCUGCAACUCGACUGCAUGAAGCUGGAAUCGCUAGUAAUCGUAUAUCAGCAACGCUGCGGUGAAUACGUUCCCGGGCCUU
rnacentral:rRNA from 1 species